rnacentral:rRNA from 1 species
CAAGGCAUACGGCUCAGUAACGCGUAGUCAACCUACCCUAUGGACGGGGAUAAUCUCGGGAAACUGUGCAUAAUACCCGGUAGACCACUUCUCCUGGAAUGGUUAGUGGUUAAAAUGAUUCGUCGCCAUAGGAUGGGACUGCGGCCUAUCAGCUUGUUGGUGAGGUAAUGGCCCACCAAGGCGAUUACAGGUACGGGCUCUGAGAGGAGAAGCCCGGAGAUGGGUACUGAGACAAGGACCCAGGCCCUAUGGGGCGCAGCAGGCGAGAAAACUUUGCAAUGUGCGAAAGCACGACAAGGUUAAUCCGAGUGAUUUCUGCUAAAGGAAUCUUUUGUUAGUUCUAAAUCUACUAGUGAAUAAGGGGUGGGCAAGUUCUGGUGU